rnacentral:lncRNA from 1 species
UCAGGGACCGGGCUGAAGACUGAGAGAAAACAGUAAAGACCUGAUGAAGAGAGCACAGCAGAGGUUAUAUUUUCUGAGAAUCCUCCGGAAAAAUAAUCUCUCAAAGGACCUGUUGAUGGCUUUUUACCAUUGUACUGUUGAGAGUGUAUUAACUUAUGGUCUGUGUGUGUGGUUUGGGAGCUGCACAGUCAGGGAAAAAACAAUGCUGUCCAGGGUUGUAAAGACUGUGGAGAGAAUAACUGGGUGCACUCUUCCCACCUUGGAUCAAGUGUAUGCUUCCAGGUGCCAUAAGAAAGCUGUAGAGAUACUGCAGGAUAGCGUGCACCCCGGAAAUGAUCUCUUUCAGCUUCUGCCUUCUGGAAGAAGGUACAGGGUUAUAAAGACUAGGACUAGCUGCCUGAGAAACAGUUUCUAUCCAAAUGCAAUUUUGGUUUUAAACGCAGUGUAAGGUAGUCUAUGUGGGAAUAUAUUGUAUUCACUUAUGGGGUAUCAGAGUUUUUAGGGGGCUAACCAGGCUGGGAUAGCAGGCUUGUUGGUUUUUGAAUGUCUGAUGUAGAUUUUUUCAAUUUCGUUGUUCUGUAUGGGACAAUGACAAUAAAGAUUAUCCUAUCGAAUGGUGGAGAUCACCUCCCCAGCCUGACUCUUCCAGAGGAGAAGAAGACAGUUUAGAUUUACAACAGGGGUUUGAGGGAGCUCACAGCUCAGAGGCAGAUGAGGGGGCAAGUUGGGAAACAGAGAGAAGGAGGAGGAGGAGGAGGAGGAAGCACUGGGGGGAUAACAACUGAUGGACAUAGUGUUUUUAGAAAGCAUUCCAGACCCUCCAUCUCCCAGAACCUAGCGAGCCUUGAAAGUAGGAGAGCAAAGAGCUCAAAGGCAGAGGGCUGCAACAAAAUGCAGCACGCGUGGUAGAGACGUUGAGCUUGACGAAUGAGGAAGUGGAAGAGACGGGGUGGAUGGGUGUGGCGAUUCACUUGGGACAAUGCCAUUAUCCAAGAGGCUGGGUUUUAUAGCCUCUCUCUGUAAAUACUGAGUAAAAAGUCGGUGGUAAGACCAUUCCUUGCCUGUGUUUGUUCCUGGGUGACUGGCUGUGGGAGUCGCUGGCAGCAGCCUGACAUCCUAUAAGCCAGUGAUAGGGAACACCCAAGUUGGAGGACCAAACCUCUCUGUCUGGCUCUCAGGGCUGUCCCAAGGCCACACACAUCACCGACCUGAGUGUUUUUGCCUGGCUAGGAGGCAUCCUUGAAUGCUGAUAAUGCCUCUUGUUUGCUGGAUGGAAGGUAGAGAGAGCUGUGUGGGUGAUUGUAGAAGCUAGCCUACUAUGCAAAGGGGGGGAAACUGGCUUUUGUUGCCCUGCCCAUGUGGCCUCUGGAAGGUUGUCCAAAAGGGAUUCCAACCCUUGUUUUAGAAAAGGUCCCCUACCCUUCCUUCGUAAUACUAGAACUUGUGGACAUUCAAUGUUGGAAGAUUCAGGAGAGAUAAAAGAAAGUACAGCUUCAUUGCAGGGCAGAGAUAAGCUAUGGAACUCUCUGCCACAGGAGUCAGUGAUGGAGACCAACUUGGAUGGCUUCAAAAGAGGAAUGGACAAAUUCAUGGAGGAGAAGACUAUCCAUGGCUACUAGCGAGGAUGACUAUGCUGUGCCUCCACAGUUGGAGACAGAAAUGCUUCUGAAUGCCAGUUGCUAGAAACUGGCAGAUGGGAGAGUGCUCUUGGGUCCUGCUUACUGGCUCCCCUCUAGGGCAUCUGGUUGGCCACUGUGAGAAAAGGAUGCUGGACUAGAUGGGCCAUUCGCCUGAUCUAGCAGGCUCUUCUUAUGUUGGGGAACAUCAGCAGUUUUUAGCUGUUUGUUGUUGUUGAGUCGUUUAGUCGUGUCCCACUCUUUGUGACCCCAUGGACCAGAGCAUGCCAGGCACUCCUGUCUUCCUCUGCCUCCCACAGUUUGGUCAAACUCAUGAUGGUAGCUUCGAGAACACUGUCCAACCAUCUUGUCCUCUGUUGUCCCCUUCUCCUUGUGCCCUCCAUCUUUCCCAGCAUCAGGGUCUUUUCCAGGGAGUCUUCUCUUCUCGUGAGGACGCCAAAGUCUUGGAGCCUCAGCUUCAAGAUCUGUCCUUCCAGGGAGCACUCAGGGCUGAUUUCCUUCAGAAUGGAUAGGUUUGACCUUCUUGCAGUCCAUGGGACUCUCAAGAGUCUCCUCCAGCACCAAGUUUUUAGCUAAGCAUCCCAAUACCUUACUGAGUUGGACAAUGGGAGUGAAGGGGGGGAGGAACAUAGACACAGCACUGGGCAGGGUGGAGAGGUUUAACACUCCAAAUUCAACCCACUGCAAUUCCCGGACUGCAAUUCCUGCAUUGCAGGGGGUUGGAUUAGAUGGCCCUCGGGUUCACGUCCAACUCUGCAAUUCUUUGAUUCUGUAAUUCUAUGUAUGCGACUGCCCACCAAUAGAAUUAUCCAGGUGUUAUGUACUGAGCUGAAUUCUAGAACAAUAGGAUCCAGAAUGCAGCAGUCUGAUUGGUCCACAGGAGCCACCCAAUCCAGCAGCUGAUUCCAGCUCUAGGUGGAAGGGAAUCAGCGACCUGAUUGGCCUGCAGGAGCAGUCCGGAAUUAGCCAAUCACGCGGGGCCCAUUGUGUAAAUAAUGUAUAUAUAGCUAGACAUUUUGGGGAAAGUUUCAUUCAUUGCUACUACGAGCUGAAUAAAGAGCAUGAAAUUC